AGAAAGAAAAAAGAAGGAAGAGGAAAGACUUGGCUUUCAGGAAAAAAAGCACACCAGAGUCUCUUCCUCGCCAACUCUUUCUAACCCUUUUCCUCUCGAAGUCUCAUACGUCUCCUCUUGCCGUCUCUCUUUCCUCUCUUCUCACUCCUUUAAUCAAAACAAAGUUUUUUCCCAUGCAAACAAAAGGGGGCGAAGAAGGAAAGAAGAAAAAAAAA
rnacentral:ribozyme from 1 species